UAAAAUGCUGAACACAUGUGCUCAUAUUUCUAAAACAUCGAAGCUCUACAGAGUGGGGACUCUGAGAUAAACCCUAAAAAUCUCAAUAGAUCUAUUAGAAAUCGGAACGAUUUAUCUUUGCAAAACAGAGAAAGGAAGCUCUCGAGUCUGAUGUUCAAAGGCCAGAAUAAGGCAAAGGAAUCUCUGAACUCUAAUGCUUAAAGUUUUAACUGUGUUCCUUCUUCAACUUUCUUUGUCAGUAGCCUGAAUCGGAAGGAAGAGAACCCAGAGCCAGAUCUUUCCUUCUUUCUUGAUUUUCAACCUUUUUGAGGCGAAAUGUCAUCAACAAAACAUUUCCAUUUCAUGCGACAUGCCUCAUAAGAUGCAAAGCAAGUGGAUGCAAUAGUGGGAAUUGGUUGAGUCAUUAGCAGUGCAUUACAGUUUUCUCAUGUGCAUAAGGUGUCCAAUGUGUUCUCGUUUUGUACUGUUUGUUCUCUCUACCUCUUUUACUUCUUUUCUAUUUCAACUUAAGUUUGUUGUAACUUCUUCAACAGGGAUAAGGUAAUAUGGGGUUUAGGAUAUACUUUCUUUAGAAAUUUUUUCCGAUUAUCUUCUUCUAAAGAAAGAUGACCAUUACAUUCUUUGCGCAUCUACAGCAACGUGCAGAGUGUCAACCAUGUUAUUUUUUGCUGCAUUGAGAAUGUCCUCUUGGUUAGUUUGGAUGCCAUGGUACUGUCAUAGACACUUAACUAACUUUCCUGCCUUUUAUCUUCCUUGUGCAUUGUUAUGGUAGCUACUGCCUCAUGUUAUUUUUUUCCAGAAAUUUGAAUGUGUAACCAUUUGGAAAUUGUAAACCUAGAGUUUUUAGAAUACCUACUGGAGCGUUAGCUAUUGUCUUUUCUUAUAUCUGCUAAACGCUGUUAUUAUUGGAAAAAAUUGUGCCUCUAUUUUCAGUUUAUAACAUGUCUGAGCUGCAGAAUUAUGUUCUCAUUUUAGAUUAGUAUAGAGUUUCUUUCACCCAAAUUGUCCACAUACAAAUUCUAGGUUCUACUAUUUGAAUGAUACUCGAGAGGCUUUGUCCAGUCGCGCACUAGCAGGUUUGCCUUUCCGAAUUUUUGGAAAUUUUGGGGUUGUGGAUGUUCUCUAACCUUGUUUCUCUAUGCUCUUCCUGCUUUUAGAUAUCCCUUGUUCUUCCUUUUUGCGUUCUGUCCAACGGUACGCUUCUAGAUUUCUCUUUUGUAAUUAAUCUAUUAUCUUAGCUUAAUCGAGCCAAUGAUUUACUUUGUAGCAAUCAAAGAAAAUUUUGAGGCUGAUAAGAAACAAGUAGACCAAAAAUGUGGUACUGAUUCUGCAAGUUAAGACUAUCAAUCUUUAGAGGUUGAGACUUUCUACUCCAAUAAGCUCUUCUUGUCUCUUGUUUGCUUUAUGUACUGAUCAAUAUAUUUGUUUCAUUUACGAGACUAUUUUAUCUCGUUAUUUACUUGUUAUGGGGUUAUUUAUUUCUUUUAUUCAAUAGGGAUAUCCGUUGUGACUUGCAUUUUGCAUAUACAAUUGAAAUCCAGUAGAAACUAGAGGCUGGAAAAUGCCUCACUUUCAAAUGGCCUUUCUUUUCUUUUUUUGCUGAUCUGGAUAGUUCUUCCUACAGAGGACUCUUUUUCUUGAUGUCACAACUAUAGUUUCUACCUUUAUGUUUUUUUUUUGUUCUGGUUGGGCAUUCAACUUUGUUGAAGUUUCAAUUUUGGAUUGUUAGUAGUUCAACAUUUAGAUCAUUACAUUUUGAAGUGAAAAGGUAAAUUAUAUUGAGAAAUGGAGUUUCUUGUUGGUACCUUUUUAGGUGAAAAACCUUGAACCAUUACAGGUGAAUGACUUAUGCUUUGGUGGAUUUAUACAUCUAGCAUUCUUUCAUAAUGAAUUUGUUUUGCUACUCCAGAAAAAUAUUGGUUGGAUGAGUACUUAAACUAUAAUCCUAUUCUAUAAGAGCAAUGGUUAUCCAGAACCUUACUGAUUUGUAUUUUAGCAUUCAACUUUGUGAUUUUUAGUCAAUUCUAUGUAACCAAAUUUGAUAAGAUUAUUUUGAUGAUUUUGCAGUUGAAGCAAUUAAACAAAUGGUAGAUAAAAGCAGUGAAGAUCUACUUAAGAGUAUUGAAUGAAAGUUGCUAGACCUUUAGAUAUUCUAGAAAUCCUUUAUUAUCGAACUUUUGCAAACUUAUGUAUGGUAACUCUUGAAUUGUCAAACGAUAUUGUAUAUUUUGUUUUCACAUAUGGUAAUACUAGUUGGAUGUUUAGAAUUAUAA